rnacentral:rRNA from 1 species
AUCAACGCUGGCGGCGUGCCUCAGACAUGCAAGUCGAACGAUUAAAGCUCUCUUCGGAGAGUGUAUAGAGUGGCGCACGGGUGAGUAACACGUAAGUAAUCUACCUUCGAGUGGGGAAUAACCCGGGGAAACCCGAGCUAAUACCGCAUAAUGCAGCGGCACCUAAUGGUGACAGUUGUUAAAGGAGUAAUUCGCUUGAAGAGGAGCUUGCGGCAGAUUAGCAGUUGGUAAGGUAAUGGCUUACCAAGGCUACGAUCUGUAACCGGUCUAAGAGGACGGUCGGUCACACUGACACUGAAUAACGGGUCAGACUCCUACGGGAGGCAGCAGUCGGGAAUUUUGGGCAAUGGGCGAAAGCCUGACCCAGCAACGCCGCGUGAAGGAUGAAGUAUUUCGGUAU